rnacentral:rRNA from 1 species
CCUACGGGAGGCAGCAGUGGGGAAUAUUGCGCAAUGGGCGAAAGCCUGACGCAGCGACGCCGCGUGAGGGAUGAAGGUCUUCGGAUCGUAAACCUCUGUCAACAGGGAAGAACGGUCACUGUGCUAAUCAGCAGUGCAUUGACGGUACCUGCAAAGGAAGCACCGGCUAACUCCGUGCCAGCAGCCGCGGUAAUACGGAGGGUGCGAGCGUUAAUCGGAAUUACUGGGCGUAAAGCGCUCGUAGGCGGUAUGUCAAGUCAAGGGUGAAAUCCCCGCGCUCAACGUGGGAACUGCCUUGGAAACUGGCAAACUGGAGUGGGUGAGAGGAUAGUGGAAUUCCAGGUGUAGGAGUGAAAUCCGUAGAUAUCUGGAGGAACAUCAGUGGCGAAGGCGACUAUCUGGCACAUAACUGACGCUGAGGAGCGAAAGCGUGGGUAGCAAACAGGAUUAGAUACCCUUGUAGUC